rnacentral:rRNA from 1 species
CCUACGGGAGGCAGCAGUGAGGAAUAUUGGUCAAUGGGCGCGAGCCUGAACCAGCCAAGUAGCGUGCAGGAUGACUGCCCUACGGGUUGUACACUUCUUUUAUAAAAGAAUAAAGUGAGGCACGUGUGCCUUUUUGUAUGUACUUUAUGAAUAAGGCUCAGCUAACUACGUGCCAGCAGCCGCGGUAAUACGGAGGAUCCGAGCGUUAUCCGUAUGUAUUGGGUUUAAAGGGAGCGUAGAUUGGUUGUUAAGUCAGUUGUGAAAGUUUGCGGCUCAACCGUAAAAUUGCAAUUGAUACUGGCAGUCUUGAGUACAGUUGAGGUAGGCGGAAUUCGUGGUGUAGCGGUGAAAUGCGUAGAUAUCACGAAGAACUCCGAUUGCGAAGGCAGCUUACUAAACUGCCACUGACAUUGAUGCUCGAAAGUGUGGGUAUCAAACAGGAGUAGAUACCCCAGUAGUC